rnacentral:rRNA from 1 species
UACGUAGGGGGCUAGCGUUAUCCGGAAUUACUGGGCGUAAAGGGUGCGUAGGUGGUUUCUUAAGUCAGAGGUGAAAGGCUACGGCUCAACCCCCGAACUGCAUUUGAAACUGUUGGUCUUGAGUAUCGGAGAGGCAGGCGGAAUUCCUAGUGUAGCGGUGAAAUGCGUAGAUAUUAGGAGGAACACCAGUGGCGAAGGCGGCCUGCUGGACGACAACUGACGGUGAGGCGCGAAAGCGUGGGGAGCAAACAGG